CAGUCGCCGCGGGAAUACGGAGGGUGCAAGCGUUAAUCAGAAUUACUGGGCGUAAAGCGCACGCAGGCGGUUUGUUAAGUCAGAUGUGAAAUCCCCGAGCUUAACUUGGGAACUGCAUUUGAAACUGGCAAGCUAGAGUCUUGUAGAGGGGGGUAGAAUUCCAGGUGUAGCGGUGAAAUGCGUAGAGAUCUGGAGGAAUACCGGUGGCGAAGGCGGCCCCCUGGACAAAGACUGACGCUCAGGUGCGAAAGCGUGGGGAGCAAACAGGAUUAGAUACCCCAGUAGUCCCUGUCUCUUAUAC
rnacentral:rRNA from 1 species